UACGGAGGGGGCAAGCGUUGUUCGGAAUUACUGGGCGUAAAGGGCGCGCAGGCGGCUGCUCAAGUCAGGCGUGAAAGGCCUGGGCUCAACCCGGGAAUUGCGCUUGAGACUGGGCUGGCUUGAGUGCGGGAGAGGAUGGUGGAAUUCCCAGUGUAGAGGUGAAAUUCGUAGAUAUUGGGAAGAACACCGGUGGCGAAGGCGGCCAUCUGGACCGCAACUGACGCUGAGGCGCGGAAGCGUGGGGAGCAAACAGG
rnacentral:rRNA from 1 species